AUAUCAAUAAGCGGAGGAAAAGAAACUAACAAGGAUUCCCCUAGUAACUGCGAGUGAAGCGGGAAAAGCUCAAAUUUAAAAUCUGAUGGUCUUUGGCCGUCCGAGUUGUAAUUUAGAGAAGCGUUUUCCGCGCUGGACCGUGCACAAGUCUCCUGGAAUGGAGCGUCAUAGAGGGUGAGAAUCCCGUCUUUGGCACGGAUACCCCAGGGCUUUUGUGAUGCGCUCUCGAAGAGUCGAGUUGUUUGGGAAUGCAGCUCAAAAUGGGUGGUAAAUUUCAUCUAAAGCUAAAUAUUGGCCAGAGACCGAUAGCGCACAAGUAGAGUGAUCGAAAGAUGAAAAGCACUUUGAAAAGAGAGUUAAACAGUAUGUGAAAUUGUUGAAAGGGAAGCGCUUGCAACCAGACUUGAGCGCGGCGGUUCCCCUAGCCUUUUGGCUAGGUUACUCCGCCGUGUCCAGGCCAACAUCGGUUCUGAGGGUCGGUCAAAGGCCUUGGGAAUGUAUCUACCUACGGGUAGACUUAUAGACCAGGGUGUCAUGCGGCCUCUCGGGACCGAGGAACGCGCUUCGGCUCGGAUGUUGGCGUAAUGGUUGUCAGCGA
rnacentral:rRNA from 1 species